AGGUAGGGUGGCCGAGUAGGUGGCAGGUUGUAGCCCUGUUUACGGGGCAUUCGCCCCCCCAACCAG
rnacentral:tRNA from 1 species